CCUACGGGUGGCAGCAGUGGGGAAUAUUGCACAAUGGGGGAAACCCUGAUGCAGCGACGCCGCGUGAGUGAAGAAGUAUCUCGGUACGUAAAGCUCUAUCAGCAGGGAAGAAAAUGACGGUACCUGACUAAGAAGCCACGGCUAACUACGGGCCAGCAGCCGCGGUAAUACGUAGGGUGCAAGCGUUAUCCGGAUUGACUGGGUGUAAAGGGAGCGUAGAGGGCAGCACAAGUCUGGAGUGAAAUCCCGGGGCUUAACCCCGGAACUGCUGUGGAAACUGUGCGGCUGGAGUGCAGGAGGGGUAAGCGGAAUUCGUGGUGUAGCGGUGAAAUGCGUAGAUAUUAGGAGGAACACCGGUGGCGAAGGCGGCUUACUGGACUGUAACUGACGUUGAGGCUCGAAAGCGUGGGGAGCAAACAGGAUUAGAUACCCGUGUAGUC
rnacentral:rRNA from 1 species